rnacentral:lncRNA from 1 species
UCAAGAUCACUCCAUAUUAUCCCUUUAAUGAUUACUAUAAUUUCUGGUAUAUACCUCAAUUGAUUUGUUAAUAUAAUUUAAUAUCAGGUAUGCCCAAACUUCCAUUAUUUGAAGAAAAUACCAUAAUUUUUUACUUAUCCUCGUACUUUUAUUUUCAUUACAAUAUGAAUGAAUGAAUUGUUUAUUUACGGUCAAAGAUCAGCAACAUAUUACAAUUAAAAUAUAAUUUCCAUAACCUUGAAAAACAGGUGAACAAUUCUAAAACAUUUACUUCCCUGUUAACAUCUUCUUUUAAGACAUCUAAUAACAUAGUAAACAAGCACAGAUUAAACAUAGGUGAUAAAGAAAAUGUCUCAAGAGUGCAACUCUAUGUGUGUCUAAGGGUGGGCUUACACAUAGGGAAAAAAUUGGUAUUUUCUUCCAACGAACCAGAGAGAUUAUUGUCUUUCAGUAAAAUUUUAAAGUGACAACAGCCUCCUCGCCUGAAAACGUCUGAGUGAGGAUAUCCAUGGAGACACACACAGACAAACACACAGGGGAGCAAGGGAACCAGCAGUCAGUGCUUGCAAGAGGAACAGCAAGAGAAACUGACCAGAGACAUUGACAAAGCCCAGCAGCUUCUAGGUAUUUUCUCUCUGCCACUGGCUACCAGAGUAUAAGAUUUAUACGAUCUGAAGAGAAACCAGAGUAUAGCCACUGGCUACCUUUUUAAAUAUUAUUCCAUCUGUAUUAUGACAUAGCGAUAUGCCAGUUUGAAAGAAAUAAUUUAAAAAAUAUAUUUAAAAAACAACAACACAGCAACCAUGGCAAGUGGCCAUCACAAGAGCAGGCAAAUGGGUACAAGACAAAGCCUUAACUGAAAUGAUUUUAAGAGCCUGUGUAGCCCUCUCAACCAAUAUACAAACAGCUUAAACAUGGAUUAAACGUUUUCCCAAGAAAAAACAAACUCAAACCCCCUCUGACUACCACAUGGCUUUAAUCUGAUUUCAAAACCCUUGAUCCACCUAUCAAUUCAUUUUCAUCCUGUGACCAUGCCCUAACCCAAAAUAAUGCCCACUGAAUUCAGUGAGGCUCACACACAAGUAAAUGUGCUGCAAAAUAAGCAAAAUAUAUCAGUAAAACGAAGAGUUUCAAGAUUGUGAUCCAUUUCAAGGAAACUGUUCCUUCUCAAAUUACUGGAGAAGUUUUACACAUUUUUGACUAAGCAACUGCUUCUGAGCAGCUUCAGUGCUCAUUUAUCUGUUUGAGAGUGAAAGCAAAAAUUUCCCUUAACAAUGCUGAUCCCUGUGGUGAAUGUAACAUCUAAACCAUCUUUCUGAGCUGCUUCCACAUGACGUGCCUGUCUCGUAGCUGAGAGCUGUAGCAAGCUUUACAUAAACAAGUCCUCAAUACAAGAGGAUUCAUGUAUGAAUAAUUGGUUUGGCUGUUACAGUAACAUGAGAACAAGUGGACCAAAGAAAAGUGGUG